CUCACUUUUUGACUUUUCUCCCUCCCCUGUCUCGAUCUUCUCGCGCUGCGGUAGCCAUAUGUUUCUCGGCCAUCUCUCUCUUGCUCUGCCCUUCGUUCGUUGCUCGAGUUUGCUCGUUCUCGGGACCAGCUUUGAACGAACACGUUGCAAUAGGCAAGAUUGUAGCAUAUUCCUAAGCCAAGUAGUGUAUAUUAGAUGAUGGCACCUCAAAGAAGAGGCACAACAACAUGCAAUAGGGUAGGGUGGAAGGAGAUGGGUGACUCUGGCUCGAGCAGACCCUACCCAAAAUUAUUCGGUUGGAGAACCACCAUUUAGGCUUGUGCCAUAAUUGCUAACACCUCUGACACAAACUACAGUGAUUUUGACACUGGAGACUAUACUCACUUUUUGAGUUAGCUGCAACCAAUUAGUCAAGAAUAAUGGAAACAUGAUGACAGAGUAAGUUAAAUAUUUGUAAGACUUCAGGAAUCAUGAUCCCAACAACCUUUGGACCGAUAGGCAGUAGACUAUACCACGAGAAAAGCGUGAUUGUCCUCAAUUAAAAUAGGAGAUUUGAACUUUAGAUCUCUUAAUUGAGAAUAUAGUUAGAGUGAAGUUGGAAAAUCUCCCUCUUGAACUAGCCUUCGACAUUAUCUUAUUCAAAUUUUCAGGUCUAGUCUUGGCUGAUAUAUAUAUAUUUUCUACCAUGACUAAAUUGUCAACUGUCUUCAACAACAUCAUGUUUCUAUUAUUUCUUAAAAAAAAAGAAAAAGAUUUGAUUUUUC